rnacentral:rRNA from 1 species
GUGGGGAAUAUUCCGCAAUGGACGAAAGUCUGACGGAGCAACGCCGCGUGAGUGAUGAAGGUUUUCGGACUGUAAAGCUCUGUUGUUUAGGACGAAAGUGCCUGUUGCAAAUAGUUACAGGUAUUGACGGUACUGAACGAGGAAGCCACGGCUAACUACGUGCCAGCAGCCUCGGUAAUACGUAGGUGGCAAGCGUUGUCCGGAAUUAUUGGGCGUAAAGAGCAUGUAGGCGGGAAUCUAAGUCUGUUGUGAAAAUGCGGGGCUCAACCCCGUAUUGCGAUGGAAACUGGGUUUCUUGAGUGCAGGAGAGGAAAGGGGAAUUCCCAGUGUAGCGGUGAAAUGCGUAGAUAUGGGGAGGAACACCAGUGGCGAAGGCGCCUUUCUGGACUGUGUCUGACGCUGAGAUGCGAAAGCCAGGGUAGCGAACGGGAUUAGAAACCCGGGUAGUCC